rnacentral:rRNA from 1 species
ACUGCUCAGUAACACGUGGCUAAUCUGCCCUUGGGACCGGAACACCCCCGGGAAACUGGGGCUAAUUCUCGAUAGGUGAAGAACUCUGGAAUGAGUCUUUGCCGAAAAGUUGUCAGGGUUAUGCUCUCUGAUAACGCCCAAGGAUGAGGCCGCGACCGAUCAGGUUGUUGGUGAGGUAAUGGCUCACCAAGCCUUUUACCGGUGCGGGCCGUGAGAGCGGGAGCCCGGAGGUGGGCACUGAGACAAGGGCCCAGGCCCUACGGGGCGCAGCAGUCGCGAAAACUUUGCAAUACACGAAAGUGUGACAGGGCUAUCCCGAGUGCCAUCCGCUGAGGAAGGCUUUUACCCAGUCUAGAACGCUGGGGGAAUAAGGAGAGGGCAAGUCUGGUGUCAGCCGCCGCGGUAAUACCAGCUCUCCGAGUGGUGUGGAUGUUUAUUGGGCCUAAAGCAUCCGUAGCUGGCUAAGUUAGUCCCUUGUUAAAUCCACCGAAUUAAUCGUUGGAUUGCGGGGGAUACUGCUUGGCUAGGGGACGAGAGAGGCAGACGGUAUUUCCGGGGUAGGGGUGAAAUCCUAUAAUCCCGGGAAGACCACCAGUGGCGAAGGCUGUCUGCUAGAACGCGCCCGACGGUGAGGGAUGAAAGCUGGGGGAGCGAACCGGAUUAGAUACCCGGGUAGUCCCAGCUGUAAACGAUGCAGGCUAGGUGUUUGGACGGCCACGUGCCGUUCUAGUGCCGCAGGGAAGCUGUUAAGCCUGCCGCCUGGGGAGUACGAUCGCAAGAUUGAAACUUAAAGGAAUUGGCGGGGGAGCA